rfam:Aedes albopictus isolate Foshan contig100562, whole genome shotgun sequence.
UGCCCAGCAACUCCUAUCCCUACCUCCACGCGGUACCGGCCGGAAACUAUGAGCAACCUUAGGGAAGAUCGGGUAACCAACCCCGGUGGGAACUUUGGUCGUAGGCUGACAGGGAAGG